UGAGGAAUAUUGCGCGAUGGGGGCAACCCUGACGCAGCAACGCCGCGUGAGUGAGGAAGGUUUUCGGACCGUAAAGCUCUGUCGAGCGGGAAGAAAUGCAUAGUGGCUAAUAUCCAUUAUAUUUGACGGUACCGCUAAAGGAAGCACCGGCUAACUCCGUGCCAGCAGCCGCGGUAAUACGGGGGGUGCUAGCGUUGUUCGGAAUCAUUGGGCGUAAAGAGCGUGUAGGCGGCUGGAUAAGUCAGAUGUGAAAGCCCUGGGCUUAACCCAGGAAGUGCAUUUGAAACUGUUCAGCUUGAGUAAGGGAGAGGAAAGUGGAAUUCCUGGUGUAGAGGUGAAAUUCGUAGAUAUCAGGAGGAACACCGGUGGCGAAGGCGACUUUCUGGCCCUAUACUGACGCUGAGACGCGAGAGCGUGGGUAGCAAACA
rnacentral:rRNA from 1 species